rnacentral:ncRNA from 2 species
AGGUGUCCGCACGGGAGCCCGAGCCACGGGCUGAGAGGGAGCUGUCAGCGCUCCGACCGUGGAACCUGAUCCGGAUCAUGCCGGCGCAGGGAGCGUGAUUCUCAUGAGC